rnacentral:tRNA from 1 species
GUGAUCAUAGCUUAGUGGUGAAAGCGCUGGAUUGUGGAUCCGGAGACAAGGGUUCAAUUCUCUUUGGUCGCC